UACGAGUUGAUCCUGGCUCAGGAUGAACGCUAGCAGAACGCCUAACACAUGCAAGUCGAACGAACCAGCAAUGGUUAGUGGCAAACGGGCGAGUAACGCGUAUCUAACCUACCCUUGAGUGAGGCACAACUACAGAGAUGUAGCUAAUUCCUCAUACGUUCUAGAGAAUGAAAAUAUCUAGAAGAAAGAUUUAUCGCUCAGGGAGGGGGGUGCGUCCUAUCAGGUAGUUGGUGAGGUAACGGCUCACCAAGCCUAUGACGGGUAGCCGGUCUGAGAGGAUGUCCGGCCGCAAUGGAACUGAGAACGGUCCAUACUCCUACGGGAGGCAGCAGUGGGGAAUAUUGGACAAUGGGCGAAAGCCUGAUCCAGCGAUUCUGCGUGAAGGAUGAAGCCUUAUGGGGUGUAAACUUCUUUUCUGGGGGAAGACGAAUGACGGUACCUCAGGAAUAAGAGACGGCUAACUACGUG
rnacentral:rRNA from 1 species